GUUUACUGUCCUUCUUGUUUACUGACUAUAAAGGAGAAAAGAGGCUGUGUUUUAGUGGCUAUGUCCUCAGUACAAAGACUAGUGCCUUUUAGGUAGAGCAAAGCCAGAGGGAGUAAGGAGACAUCAUUUCUAGGUCUAGAGCAGUGUUUACCUGAUGGCCACAGUGGGGACCAUGGACAACUUCUGGCUGCUAACACCGAAUGUUCCUCCCCAUGAUAUCUCUGCAGGCCAUAUAAGGACACAGUGAGGAGGCAAUCUGCAACCCGAAGAGAGAGCCCUCACCAGACACCAACCCUGCUGGCACCCUGACCUUGGACUUCCAGAACUGUUUCAGCAAUUUAGAGAUGACAAAGAAGAUAAAGGAAAGCUUUAGAUGCAAAUAGCUACACGUGUUAAUGAGGACAUUGUCCCAUUGUGAGGUACCAGGAGGAUUUCACACAAUCUGCCUUCAGAACAGAAACCUCAAGAUGCUAAAGGAAGGACAGCAAAACCUUUCACUCUGACAGCAUUUGUGAAGACCCAUCUUGGGCAAAGGGCAGGAAACUCCUGGGGCCGGGCACUUGCACAUCCCUGCUCAUUGGGGAGGGGCAGGAUCACUGAGAAGGCCCCACUCCAAGGAUUCAGAAAAACAGCACUCAACUAAGGCUGAGAAUGAAAAAGAACAGUAAAGAAUACUGCCCUCUCCCCAAACCUGCCUAGUAAGAGUCGAGCAACAUGUAACAGCCAUCUACUGCUGGGGAUGGUAGAAGAGCAUGGAGAGAGAGCCUCUCUGAGCUCGAGGUGCAGAGAGAAAUCAUGAAGUUGAGGGUGGAGCACGCACUGAAGAAAACUCUCAACCAACUGGCUGGUCCCCACGCUAAACAGAAUGUAAUGCCAUUUGAAGUCUAUAGUAUGCUUAAAGUAACAGUAGGGACAACAAAACCCAAACCCAGCAAAUACCUAUUCAAUUGACUACACCUUAUCCCACAAUAAAAGAAAU